GGGGCGGUAGCUCAGUCGGUUAGAGCUGCGGACUCAUAAUCCGUCGGUCGCGGGUUCGAGCCCCGCCCGCCCCACCA
rnacentral:tRNA from 1 species